rnacentral:rRNA from 1 species
AGUAAAUGCAUCGGAACGUGUCCAUGUCGUGGGGGAUAGCCGGCGAAAGCCGGAUUAAUACCGCAUACGCCCGAGAGGGGAAAGUGGGGACCGCAAGGCCUCACGCGAUUGGUUCGGCCGAUGUCCGAUUAGCUAGUUGGCGGGGUAAAGGCCCACCAAGGCGAUGAUCGGUAGCUGGUCUGAGAGGAUGAUCAGCCACACUGGGACUGAGACACGGCCCAG